CAGUCGCCGCGGUAAUACGUAGGUGGCAAGCGUUGUCCGGAAUUAUUGGGCGUAAAGCGCGCGCAGGCGGAUAGGUCAGUCUGUCUCAAAAGUUCGGGGCUUAACCCCGUGAUGGGAUGGAAACUGCCAAUCUAGAGUAUCGGAGAGGAGAGUGGAAUUCCUAGUGUAGCGGUGAAAUGCGUAGAUAUUAGGAAGAACACCAGUGGCGAAGGCGACUUCUGGACGAAAACUGACGCUGAGGCGCGAAAGCCAGGGGAGCGAACGGGAUUAGAUACCCCCGUAGUCCCUGUCUUUAUACACU
rnacentral:rRNA from 1 species